GUAGGUGUUCAGUAAAUCUAAACACACGAUGCAGUUAUUUCAUUCAAAUGUAAUCGACUAGAAAAUGAUGUGUAAUGGGUGACUACGAGAGGGGGAAGGUAAAGGAAACUGCCCAAUCAUCAUGAGUAAGUUUUAUCGAUGAGGAUGGAACAGACAAGAAUAAGAGGCGACAAUCAAGGUAGAGAUAGAAACUGAGAGAAGCUUUGUCAUUGAAAUUUCUGGAGCUGAAAACACAAGGAAUCUAUCCACCUCUGUCUGUACAGCAAGAGAGAACUGAAGAUUCACAUCCCCUGAAGAGAGAAAAAAAAUCAGCUUGUGCUUAAAAUGAGCGAUCCUUUAUUUUAUAAAAGUAUAGUUCUGGCUGUCAACUUCAAUCAAUGUUAUCAGGGGUGGCUGUCAGCUAUUGAAGACUUUCUACUUUCUUUACCUGCAGUGUUGGAGUGCUAAAUUUUGUGCUCAAACCAUGACCUUCACAGCACACUGGCAAUCAGCAAAGCCUGUGCCACACUGAUGCAGGGUCUGACUGGUGCAUUGGAGCAGCUUUAUUCUACAGCCCAGAUCAGUAGUUUCCAAGUGAGUCAACGCUGGAGGAUACGAGAGGGAAAUAUUGUGUGGUGUUGAAUUUAUUUAUGUACCAAAUGCUUAUGAAAUAGGCUCCUUAAAAGAACCCUUAUACAAGGCAGUCCAGUAUAGUUUCAAAGGAGUUAACUUACUUCACAAAUGGACCUAAAGAUAAUGAAAGAGACACCAUACACCACACACAUACACCAUACACCAGACACCAGCCACCAGAACAAGAUGGGCAGGCAGUAUUUUGUUCAGAUAACUCAUUGUUUGGAUAACUGAUCAUCGUAAACAAAGGAAGCAUUUACAGGAUCUUGAGAUCUUUUUUGGAUAAUCCAAAAUUCGGAUAAUUGAUGUUCAGAUAACCGAGGAUGUUCUGCACUAUGCUGGGGUUUCAGUUUCUGGAUUAGUGGUGCUGGAAGAGCACAGCAGUUCAGGCAGCAUCCGAGGAGCAGUAAAAUCGACGU